rnacentral:rRNA from 1 species
GCAUGUUCACAUGAUUAAAGGUAUUCCGGUAGACGAUGGGGAUGCGUUCCAUCAGAUAGUAGGCGGGGUAACGGCCCACCUAGUCUUCGAUGGAUAGGGGUUCUGAGAGGAAGGUCCCCCACAUUGGAACUGAGACACGGUCCAAACUCCUACGGGAGGCAGCAGUGAGGAAUAUUGGUCAAUGGGCGAGAGCCUGAACCAGCCAAGUAGCGUGAAGGAUGACUGCCCUAUGGGUUGUAAACUUCUUUUAUAAAGGAAUAAAGUCGGGUAUGCAUACCCGUUUGCAUGUACUUUAUGAAUAAGGAUCGGCUAACUCCGUGCCAGCAGCCGCGGUAAUACGGAGGAUCCGAGCGUUAUCCGGAUUUAUUGGGUUUAAAGGGAGCGUAGAUGGAUGUUUAAGUCAGUUGUGAAAGUUUGCGGCUCAACCGUAAAAUUGCAGUUGAUACUGGAUAUCUUGAGUGCAGUUGAGGCAGGCGGAAUUCGUGGUGUAGCGGCGAAAUGCUUAGAUAUCACGAAGAACUCCGAUUGCGAAGGCAGCCUGCUAAGCUGCAACUGACAUUGAGGCUCGAAAGUGUGGGUAUCAAACAGGAUUAGAUACCCUGGUAGUCCACACGGUAAACGAUGAAUACUCGCUGUUUGCGAUAUACAGCAAGCGGCC